AGUGAACGCUGGCGGUAGGCCUAACACAUGCAAGUCGAACGGCAGCACAGUAAGAGCUUGCUCUUACGGGUGGCGAGUGGCGGACGGGUGAGGAAUACAUCGGAAUCUACUUUUUCGUGGGGGAUAACGUAGGGAAACUUACGCUAAUACCGCAUACGACCUACGGGUGAAAGCAGGGGAUCUUCGGACCUUGCGCGAUUGAAUGGGCCGAUGUCGGAUUAGCUAGUUGGCGGGGUAAAGGCCCACCAAGGCGACGAUCCGUAGCUGGUCUGAGAGGAUGAUCAGCCACACUGUAACUGAGACACGGUCCAGACUCCUACGGGAGGCAGCAGUGGGGAAUAUUGGACAAUGGGCGCAAGCCUGAUCCAGCCAUACCGCGUGGGUGAAGAAGGCCUUCGGGUUGUAAAGCCCUUUUGUUGGGAAAGAAAAGCAGCAGGUUAAUACCCCGCUGUUCUGACGGUACCCAAAGAAUAAGCUCCGGCUAACUUCGUG
rnacentral:rRNA from 1 species